rnacentral:rRNA from 1 species
AUUGAACGCUGGCGGCAGGCCUAACACAUGCGAGUCGAGCGGAUGAAGGGAGCUUGCUCCUGGAUUCAGCGGCGGACGGGUGAGUAAUGCCUAGGAAUCUGCCUGGUAGUGGGGGAUAACGUCCGGAAACGGGCGCUAAUACCGCAUACGUCCUGAGGGAGAAAGUGGGGGAUCUUCGGACCUCACGCUAUCAGAUGAGCCUAGGUCGGAUUAGCUAGUUGGUGGGGUAAAGGCCUACCAAGGCGACGAUCCGUAACUAGUCUGAGAGGAUGAUCAGUCACACUGGAACUGAGACACGGUCCAGACUCCUACGGGAGGCAGCAGUGGGGAAUAUUGGACAAUGGGCGAAAGCCUGAUCCAGCCAUGCCGCGUGUGUGAAGAAGGUCUUCGGAUUGUAAAGCACUUUAAGUUGGGAGGAAGGGCAGUAAGUUAAUACCUUGCUGUUUUGACGUUACCAACAGAAUAAGCACCGGCUAACUUCGUG